rnacentral:rRNA from 1 species
CCCUUAGAUGUUCUGGGCCGCACGCGCGCUACACUGACGAAUGCAACGAGCUUAUAACCUUGGCCGAAAGGUCUGGGUAAUCUCCAAAUUUCGUCGUGAUGGGGAUAGAUUAUUGCAAUUAUUAAUCUUCAACGAGGAAUGCCUAGUAAGCGCAAGUCAUCAGCUUGCGUUGAUUACGCCCCUGCCCUUUGUACACACCGCCCGUCGCUCCUACCGAUUGAAUGGUCCGGUGAAGCGUUCGGACCGUGGCCUUUGGACGGUUCGCCGUCUGUUGGCUGCGGGAAGUUCGUUAAACCUUAUCAUUUAGAGGAAGGAGAAGUCGUANCA